UACUUAUAGUAACUCAGCUUUCCUAAUUUGCGGAGAGAGGAGAAAGAAAAUCGCUCACUUUUAUCAUCGUGACGGGCCUGAUUUCCUGAUCCAAAUCCAGCUCAUAUUUCCAAUUUUUAUCAUUCAAACUAUGGCUGAAUAAGAUAUAGAAGAAAAGAUCAAAGAUUAUUUUUUCAAAGGUUAUAGUUACAGACUUAUACAUUAUUUGAUCCAAAGAAGAUUUAAUUGUAAUAUAAGUUACAAUCAGCUAAAGAGGAAGAUAAUUCCUGAAUUGGGUUUGCGACGGAGGGGUGCAAAUAUUGAUUUAGAAGAACUUUUUAAAACUGCACAG